rnacentral:lncRNA from 1 species
AGAAACCUCUUUCCAAGAAUCAGUAAGGUUGCUAACGCUUCUACGACGAUUACUAAACUCAAUGGCUAAUUGGUUAGCAUCAGGUAUUUCAGGCUCUUCCUUCCCUUUCUCACCCUUCUCUAGUGCAUCAGUUUCCACAUCGCUGCUAGAGGCCGUGUUGGAACCACAUGAGGAACGGUCAACCGGUUUUCUUCCCUUUGUUUUGUUGGAAUCAAGGUGCUCAGAAAUUGUUUUGUUCGUCUCAUGAUCAGUAACCUUUGAUGAAGUAUUUAACUUGGCAU